GCAUGGUUAUUCAGUGGUAGAAUUCUCGCCUUCCAUGCAGGAGGCCCAGGUUCGAUUCCUGGCCAAUGCA
rnacentral:tRNA from 1 species